rnacentral:misc_RNA from 1 species
GGACAAUGCAUAAGGUCAACCAGUAGUUCUAUAGAAUCCAGAAUGACUGUGACAUAGAUGUGCUUAGAUGAAUCUGCACACUCCAGUGCUCCUCCUCUUGGGAAACCCACAAUCAGCUUGCACUCAAGGCCCACAGUAUCAGCAAGAACUUUGAAUAAGAUUGCUCGAGAAUGGCAGGAACCAUCCUUUAUUUGGCACAGCAUGUGGAUUCCUUGACUACCCAAAGCAUGUGAGACCUCCUCAAGUGUACCACUCACAUGAGUGGACUUGUACUUAGGAUGCUUAUAGAAAUCACAAACCAACCCUGCAAUCUUCUUCACAACUACAGCUGGAGUCGAACUCAAUCCUUUCACUAAAGUGAGAGUGAGCUGUUUUAACAUGGAAAGCUUCUUAUCUUUAUGCAUAUUGACAAGAAUAAC